CGGAUCUAGAGUUGUGCAUGGGUUUUGCUAGGCUCUGUCGGGAAUUUUAAAAGUAGGAGCUGAUUUUUAUAAUUUCCUCAUAAUAACAGUCUCUUUUAACGUCGAUUUCCACCGACAUGACGUCACAAAGUACAACAUUUAUCCUUGCCAGUGCACUUCUUGCAUGCGUGUGUUUGAGCAUGUUUUCUGCUGGAGAUCACGGUGUGAGCAUUUUGCCCAUAACUCACGUAGAGGCUGCACAUGUUCCUGUAGACCUGGCUACGUCAUCAGCAAAAGAGAUCCUUCAAAAUGU